AGUGAAGGACGUGACGGCAUUAGAUCUGCCUGUAGAGUACAGUGUCCACCUGGAUAUUUGCAGAUGGGUUUUGCUGAGUUCACCUGCAGAGCUGAUGGCACAAGGAAGUCUUCAUUUCCACUCAUUUGUGCAAGUUAUGUCUAUUUUCUGUUUGCUCUUUUGGCAUCUGUUGUCAUCUCAGUGUUUUGUGGCUGUUUAUUUUGUUGCUCCAACUGCAGUAGGAGUAAAAAUACAGUGAGAUUAAGAACUCAACAAGAAACGGUGAAUCCAGCAUAUGAAGCAGAACACACACCACUAGAGGGCCCUCUCUGUCCAGCAUAAAGCCUCAAAUCUUCUUCUGUUCAUUCUUUUUCAUUCUAGCUUUGCUUGUGCAAAUA
rnacentral:lncRNA from 1 species